GAUGAACGCUGGCGGCGUGCCUAAUACAUGCAAGUCGAGCGAAUGGAUUAAGAGCUUGCUCUUAUGAAGUUAGCGGCGGACGGGUGAGUAACACGUGGGUAACCUGCCCAUAAGACUGGGAUAACUCCGGGAAACCGGGGCUAAUACCGGAUAACAUUUUGAACCGCAUGGUUCGAAAUUGAAAGGCGGCUUCGGCUGUCACUUAUGGAUGGACCCGCGUCGCAUUAGCUAGUUGGUGAGGUAACGGCUCACCAAGGCAACGAUGCGUAGCCGACCUGGGAGGGUGAUCGGCCACACUGGGACGGAGUCACGGCCAAGACUCCUACGGGAGGGAGCAGUAGGGGAUCUUCCGCAAUGGACGAAAGUCAGACGGAGCAACGCCGCGUGAGUGAUGAAGGCUUUCGGGUCGUAUAACUCUGUUGUUAGGGAAGAACAAGUGCUAGUUGAAUAAGCUGGCACCUUGACGGUACCUAACCAGAAAGCCACGGCUAACUACGUGCCAGCAGCAGCCGCAG
rnacentral:rRNA from 1 species